rnacentral:rRNA from 1 species
GAUGAACGCUGGCGGCGUGCCUAAUACAUGCAAGUCGAACGCAUAGCGAAAGGUGCUUGCACCUUUCAAGUGAGUGGCGAACGGGUGAGUAACACGUGGACAACCUGCCUCAAGGCUGGGGAUAACAUUUGGAAACAGAUGCUAAUACCGAAUAAAACUUAGUGUCGCAUGACACAAAGUUAAAAGGCGCUUCGGCGUCACCUAGAGAUGGAUCCGCGGUGCAUUAGUUAGUUGGUGGGGUAAAGGCCUACCAAGACAAUGAUGCAUAGCCGAGUUGAGAGAGUGAUCGGCCACAUUGGGACUGAGACACGGCCCAAACUCCUACGGGAGGCUGCAGUAGGGAAUCUUCCACGAUGGGCGAAAGCCUGAUGGAGCAACGCCGCGUGUGUGAUGAAGGCUUUCGGGUCGUAAAGCACUGUUGUAUGGGAAGAACAGCUAGAAUAGGAAAUGAUUUUAGUUUGACGGUACCAGACCAGAAAGGGACGGCUAACUACGUG